CCCUAUUGUUGUAUUUUCUGUAGUUUAUAAAUAUAUCGAUUUUAUCGCUUAUCUUUAAUUUACGAAUAUGUUACCCGAAUCGAAAAAAAUGAUUUGGCCAUAACGCUGGUUUUAAAUAAAAAACCGGUCAAGACGUAAACGUUGGUGCAGUGAUUUAUUAUUGUUGAAUACUUCAGAUAUACGAUGAGAAUAAAAUAACUAUAAGCAUAAUUAUAUUCAAAAAGUUAAAGUACUUUAAGUGGUAACGAAAAACAUAUUAUAAUUGCGUGGUUUUGUUUUUAAUUAUUUGAAUGGAUCAUACACAUUUACAAUAUAUGGGUUCGGUCAUGUGUCAAAUAUGUGACGUUAGAAUAACUUCACUAUAAGGAUAA